GUCAGCGGCGGACGGGUGAGUAACACGUGGGUAACCUGCCUGUAAGACUGGGAUAACUCCGGGAAACCGGGGCUAAUACCGGAUGCUUGAUUGAACCGCAUGGUUCAAUCAUAAAAGGUGGCUUUUAGCUACCACUUACAGAUGGACCCGCGGCGCAUUAGCUAGUUGGUGAGGUAACGGCUCACCAAGGCGACGAUGCGUAGCCGACCUGAGAGGGUGAUCGGCCACACUGGGACUGAGACACGGCCCAGACUCCUACGGGAGGCAGCAGUAGGGAAUCUUCCGCAAUGGACGAAAGUCUGACGGAGCAACGCCGCGUGAGUGAUGAAGGUUUUCGGAUCGUAAAACUCUGUUGUUAGGGAAGAACAAGUACCGUUCGAAUAGGGCGGCACCUUGACGGUACCUAACCAGAAAGCCACGGCUAACUACGUGCCAGCAGCCGCGGUAAUACGUAGGUGGCAAGCGUUGUCCGGAAUUAUUGGGCGUAAAGCGCGCGCAGGCGGUUUCUUAAGUCUGAUGUGAAAGCCCCCGGCUCAACCGGGGAGGGUCAUUGGAAACUGGGGAACUUGAGUGCAGAAGAGGAGAGUGGAAUUCCACGUGUAGCGGUGAAAUGCGUAGAGAUGUGGAGGAACACCAGUGGCGAAGGCGACUCUCUGGUCUGUAACUGACGCUGAGGCGCGAAAGCGUGGGGAGCGAACAGGAUUAGAUACCCUGGUAGUCCACGCCGUAAACGAUGAGUGCUAAGUGUUAGAGGGUUUCCGCCCUUUAGUGCUGCAGCAAACGCAUUAAGCACUCCGCCUGGGGAGUACGGUCGCAAGACUGAAACUCAAAGGAAUUGACGGGGGCCCGCACAAGCG
rnacentral:rRNA from 1 species